rnacentral:sRNA from 20 species
GUCAGCACCCCGCACUGAAGUGACGGGGCUUCAUGCCUCACCUUCAGUUAGCUGACCAGCCUAAGUCAAAACUUGACUACGUUUUUGGGGUCAUGACACCUACAAAUGCUUUCCAGUUUGUAGCUCUGUC